GACAGAGGGUGCAACCGUUGUUCGGAAUUACUGGGCGUAAAGCGUGUGUAGGCGGCCAGGCAAGUCGGGUGUGAAAGCCCCGGGCUCAACCCGGGAAGUGCACUCGAUACUGCUUGGCUCGAGUAUCGGAGAGGUUGGUGGAAUUCUCGGUGUAGAGGUGAAAUUCGUAGAUAUCGAGAGGAACACCGGUGGCGAAGGCGGCCAACUGGACGAAUACUGACGCUGAGACACGAAAGCGUGGGGAGCAAACAGG
rnacentral:rRNA from 1 species